rnacentral:rRNA from 1 species
AUACGGAGGGUCCAAGCGUUGUUCGGAAUCAUUGGGCGUAAAGCGGACGUAGGCGGCUUGGUACGUCGGAUGUGAAAUCCCAGGGCCCAACCCUGGAACUGCAUUCGAAACUGCCAGGCUAGAGUCGCGGAGAGGAUGGCGGAAUUCCCGGUGUAGGGGUGAAAUCCGUAGAUAUCGGGAGGAACACCAGUGGCGAAGGCGGCCAUCUGGACGCUGACUGACGCUCAGGUCCGAAAGCGUGGGGAGCAAACAGGAUUAGAAACCCCAGUAGUCC